rnacentral:lncRNA from 1 species
AAAAAAAUAUAAUAAAUCUAUGAACAAGGACAGUAUAAUAAAAAUGAAUAUUAGAAUAAAAAAGAGCUCUAGGAAAAAAUUUACAGCAUAAAUUAAACCAAAGCUUUGAUCAAAAAGUUGAAUAAAUGUCACAGAAUUAAUUGUGUGCCCCACCAAAUUCAUAUAUUGAAGCCCUAAACUCCAUAGUACCUCAGUAUGUGACAGUAUUUGGAGAUAGAGCUUUAAAGAGGUAAUUAAGUUAAAUGUGGCUCUUAGAGUGUGCUCCAAUCCAAUCUGACUGAUGUUCUUAUGAGAAGAGAUUAGAACACACAGACAGCAGGUGUGUGUACACAGAGGGACGACCACAUGAAGAGGCAGCAAGAGGGCUGCUCUCUGCAGGUGGAGGAGAGAGGCCUCAAGAAGAAACCACUCCCUACUUGACCUUGGAUUACUAGGCUCCAGAACUGUGAGAAAGCAGAUAUAUUUCAUUUAAACCACCCAUUCUGUGGCAUUUUGUUAUGAUAUCCCUAGAAAACCAAUAUAGUAAUUUUCCCAGGAAAUAGAAUCACAGCAACAAAACCAAAAUAAACAAAGCAAAACAAGAAGAUGGAAAGCAUAGAACUACAAGAAAGUAGAGAAAUAAUCAAAACAGUUCAAUAUCUCAUAAAGAGAAAACAGACAUAUUGCAGGAAGAAAAGUAGAACAGAGAGAGUUUAAGAAAAUCAGAAAGUGCUCUGCCAAGUGCCUAGUAUAACAAUUGAAACAAACCACAUACCAAAUCAUAUUGUUGUGCAAUUUCAGAACAGAGGGAAUAAAGAGCAGAUCUUCCAAUCUCCCAGAAAGUAUGAGAAAGAAAAAGAAAGGUCAAAAGUUGAUCACAAAUACAAUGAAACAGAAACCAGAACGAUGUUGGAUUUCUUAAGAACAGAAAAUAUACAUGAAUAAUUUCAGAGAAGCAGAUAUGGAAUGGUGAAACUCCUGCACUCCUCCAAGUGAUCUUUUUACCUGGAAAGGGAGAGAAUGUGUGUUCUGUCAGCAGCUAAGAGCACAGAUCUGGUUACUGAUCAAGACUGAAGCGAGGCUGAGAAAAUGCAGAACUGAGAUCAAGGUGCUCACAAGGGUAACAGUCAAGUUCACUGAACCUCAACUAGGGUGGAGCCAAAGGACAUUCUUCCCAGCACCCUCAGAGGUAUUGCCGCCUUUGGAACAAUCAGUCAAACAACCAAGCCCAACAAUCUCUCUUUUAAUGUUUGUUGGACGUAUUGACAUAGAAAUAGAAUUUUCCUUCCUGGUAGUACUGUGAUGCAUAAUAAAAGAUGAAAAAUUUUUAGUCA